CGGACGGGUGAGUAACGCGUAAGAACUUGCCCUUUAGACUGGGAUAACAGAGGGAAACUUCUGAUAAUACUGGAUAAGUUAGUAUAUCGCAUGAUAUGCAAAUGAAAGCUACGGCACUAAAGAAGAGCUUUGCGUCCUAUUAGCUAGUUGGUAAGGUAAGAGCUUACCAAGGCGAUGAUAGGUAGCCGGCCUGAGAGGGUGGACGGCCACAAGGGGACUGAGAUACGGCCCUUACUCCUACGGGAGGCAGCAGGC
rnacentral:rRNA from 1 species